rnacentral:rRNA from 1 species
AUUGAACGCUGGCGGCAGGCCUAACACAUGCAAGUCGAGCGAGCGGCGGACGGGUGCGUAAUGUAUGGGGACUGUCCGUUAGAGGGGGAUAACUACUGGAAACGGUAGCUAAUCCCGCACACUCUCGGAUACCCCUUAUGGGAUUAGCUAGUAGGUGGGGUAAUGGCUCACCUAGGCGACGAUCCCUAGCUGGGCUGAGAGGAUGAUCAGCCACACUGGGACUGAGACACGGCCCAGACUCCUACGGAGGCAGCAGUGGGGAAUAUUGCGCAAUGGGCGCAAGCCUGAUGCAGCCAUGCCGCGUGUAUGAAGAAGGCCUUAGGGUUGUAAAGUACUGUCAGUCGGGAGGCGUUACCGACAGAAGAAGCACCGGCUAACUCCGUGCCAGCAGCCGCGGUAAUAC